rnacentral:lncRNA from 1 species
UUAAAUAUCUAGGCAUUACAAUCUCUUCAGAUCUCAAAUGGAACAAACAUAUACAACAAUCAGCAGCAAAAGCGAAUCAAUCUUUAUCAUUCGUCAGACGCAAUCUAAAAAUUAGUUCAAAAUUAGUGAAGGAAAGAGCAUAUCAAACAACAGUAAGACCAAAACUUGAAUACUGAUGUACAGUUUGGGAACCACACACAUCAGAAAAUAUAUACAG